rnacentral:rRNA from 1 species
UGAAAAGCUAAUACCGCGAAGCUACCAUCUGUUGGAUUACGACUGAACGCCUCUAAGUCGGAAUCCAUGCUGGCUAAGCAGUGUUAUCCACCGCUUCCACAAUUACAUGACAAGCAUUAGGUUUCGACCCUGUUGCAUACGAACCACUUCUACCGCUAAAGGUUGUGUGGCUAAUCUCAAUUUCAAAUUUUGGAAGUGAUAAACCUUUUGCAGACGACUUAACUGAAUCCAGGUAUUGUAA